rnacentral:rRNA from 1 species
AGAGUUUGAUCAUGGCUCAGGACGAACGCUGGCGGCGUGCCUAAUACAUGCAAGUCGAGCGGGCCAUUCCUUCGGGGAUGGUUAGCGGCGGACGGGUGAGUAACACGUAGGCAACCUGCCUGUAAGAUCGGGAUAACUACCGGAAACGGUAGCUAAGACCGGAUAGCUGGUUUCUCCGCAUGGGGGAAUCAUGAAACACGGGGCAACCUGUGGCUUACGGAUGGGCCUGCGGCGCAUUAGCUAGUUGGUGGGGUAACGGCCCACCAAGGCGACGAUGCGUAGCCGACCUGAGAGGGUGAUCGGCCACACUGGACUGAGACACUUCCCAAACUCCUACGGGAGGCAGCAGUAGGGAAUCUUCCGCAAUGGGCGCAAGCCUGACGGAGCAACGCCGCGUGAGUGAUGAAGGUUUUCGGAUCGUAAAGCUCUGUUGCCAAGGAAGAACGCCUCGGAGAGUAACUGCUCUGAGGGUGACGGUACUUGAGAAGAAAGCCCCGACUAACUACGUGCCAGCAGCCGCGGUAAUACGUAGGGGGCAAGCGUUGUCCGGAAUUAUUGGGCGUAAAGCGCGCGCAGGCGGUCUUUUAAGUUUGGUGUUUAAGCCCGGGGCUCAACCCCGGUUCGCACUGAAAACUGGGAGACUUGAGUGCAGGAGAGGAAAGCGGAAUUCCACGUGUAGCGGUGAAAUGCGUAGAGAUGUGGAGGAACACCAGUGGCGAAGGCGGCUUUCUGGACUGUAACUGACGCUGAGGCGCGAAAGCGUGGGGAGCAAACAGGAUUAGAUACCCUGGUAGUCCACGCCGUAAACGAUGAGUGCUAGGUGUUAGGGGUUUCGAUACCCUUGGUGCCGAAGUAAACACAAUAAGCACUCCGCCUGGGGAGUACGCUCGCAAGAGUGAAACUCAAAGGAAUUGACGG